CGUGUACGUCAUCUUGAGCAUUGACGGGUGCUGGGGCAUGAGGGGCAUUCUGCGAAGUCGGAGAAGCAGGCCCAUAAUUAGUGACAGGUGUACGGGAGGACUGGGUUUGCUAUACAAUGUGUGGAGCUUCCAAGUUAUUAUUUGUUUGAACACCUCUCCGAGUGCGUAGACCAAUAGCAUUGCGACCAUGAGCACCCCGAGUGACAGGACCACUAAUCUCUGGAAUUGGCUCCAUUACUCCUAUAAUA
rnacentral:lncRNA from 1 species